CACUCCUAUGAGAUCGGAAAAUAGGUUUAAUUAUUAGGUUUUGAUCUAGGAGUACAACCAUAUUUACAAACACAAUACCUCUGCCCCUUCCCCUGCAAAAUGAAAUGAUCUCACUGAAUAAAUGAUUUAAAGGAUUGUAUCUCAAAGCAGUCAACUUGUCAAUGUAUCAGUUUGGAUCUAUCAAACACUACUGCAUGUCUCCGGCACUAGGGAAAAGAACAUGAAGAAUUGGUGGUGUCUUUAUAAACCUCAAGGUUCAGGUUGAUCCGUUCUCUGAAUGGAUGAA